UACAGAGGGGGCAAGCGUUGUUCGGAAUUACUGGGCGUAAAGGGCGCGUAGGCGGCCUGUUAAGUCGGACGUGAAAUCCCUCGGCUUAACCGGGGAACUGCGUCUGAUACUGGAUGGCUAGAGGUUGGGAGAGGGAUGCGGAAUUCCAGGUGUAGCGGUGAAAUGCGUAGAUAUCUGGAGGAACACCGGUGGCGAAGGCGGCAUCCUGGACCAAUUCUGACGCUGAGGAGCGAAAGCCAGGGGAGCAAACGGG
rnacentral:rRNA from 1 species